rnacentral:rRNA from 1 species
AGAGUUUGAUCAUGGCUCAGAACAAACGCUGGCGGCGUGCCUAACACAUGCAAGUCGUACGAGAAAGUCGGCUUCGGCCGAUGAGUACAGUGGCGCACGGGUGAGUAGCGCGUGGGUAAUCUGCCCCUCGGUCAGGAAUAACCCGCCGAAAGGCGGGCUAAUACCCGAUAACACUGACGCUCUGCGGAGCGUCUUUCAAAGAAGGCCUCUGUUUACAAGCUUUCGCCGGAGGAUGAGCCCGCGUACCAUUAGCUAGUUGGCAGGGUAAUGGCCUACCAAGGCAACGAUGGUUAGCUGGUCUGAGAGGAUGGCCAGCCACACUGGAACUGAGACACGGUCCAGACUCCUACGGGAGGCAGCAGUGAGGAAUCUUGCGCAAUGGGGGAAACCCUGACGCAGCAACGCCGCGUGAGUGAGGAAGGCUUUCGGGUCGUAAAGCUCUGUCAGAUGGGAAGAAAUGGAUGGGAGCUAAUACUUUUCAUUCUUGACGGUACCAUCAGAGGAAGCACCGGCUAACUCCGUGCCAGCAGCCGCGGUAAUACGGGGGGUGCAAGCGUUGUUCGGAAUCAUUGGGCGUAAAGCGCGCGCAGGCGGCUUGGUAAGUCAGAUGUGAAAUCUCUGGGCUUAACUCAGGAAGUGCAUUUGAUACUGUCUCGCUAGAGUACGGGAGAGGAAAGUGGAAUUUCUGGUGUAGAGGUGAAAUUCGUAGAUAUCAAGAGGAACACUGGUGGCGAAGGCGACUUUCUGGCUCGAUACUGACGCUCAGGCGCGAAAGCGUGGGGAGCAAACAGGAUUAGAUACCCUGAUAGUCCACGCUGUAAACGAUGUUCACUAGGUGUUGGGGGUAUUGACUCUUCUCAGUGCCGUAGCUAACGCAUUAAGUGAACCGUCUGGGAAGUACGGUCGCAAGACUAAAACUCUAAGGAAUUG